GGAUGGGCCAGCCAAGGUACAGGAGGUUCUGGGAUGGGUGGGGACAUCACAGGUGUGCCCAGGGUGGAGGCCUCGUUGCACAGUUCAGUGGGAUUGUUUCUGCUGACUCCUGAAUACUGCCUGGCAAUGCAAGGGAAACUGCACUUGGGAAAGAGCAGGAGGGAGGCUUGGGCCGGCUGGAUUCCCUCCCAGAGCCAGUGAGGCCCUGGCUGGAGGAUGAGGACACCUGAAUGGGCAGCAAGGAGCGCUGACCUUGGGGGAACUACAUCUAGGCUGUGCAUCUAUAUGAUGCGACCCUGCAGAGGACAAAGGGACAAAAAGGUAAGGGAAAACAAGGCUUGGUGCCAUGGUGCAGGUCCCAGAAUCAUCUCAGCUGGAAGGGACCUGGAAGGAUCUGCUCUCUGGCAGCCAUUGGAAGGUUCUGGAAGGCUCUCCACAGUUUUGGCAGUUGCCACAGCAGUUGCUACUGUAGUCGAAGGCUGCACUUCCAGCCUGGCACCUGUGCUCUGGCUCUUAAGAAGCCUACACAUUUGCUGAAAGCAGAGCUUAGGAUUGAAGUCCUCAUUAGUCUUAGCUUCCUGCAAAGAGAGAGGAAGAUUCUUCCCAAAGGUGCAUGGUGAAAGGACAAGACACAACAACCAGAAGUUGCAACCUGCAUACUGACAGUUCCUGGAUUGUCUAGGCCUUAUGUGAAGUUCUUAGGUGUCAACUGGAAAUCCAUACUGCUGAAUUUGAUAUUUAAUGCUAUGUAUUAGAAGUGCUUUCUGAAGCUGUAAACAAAAUGCAGUGGGAAAAUACAAUUGCUCUGUUUCCAUUAUCAAGAUUUUUCUGAGGAAUUUUUCAAGGUAUUAUAUGUUAAAAACAUCACACACUGUUCGACAAAAUGCAUAUGUUCUAUUUUCUGCAUGCUAAAUAGGUUAAAAAGAUUGUUAAAUGCUGGCUAAGCCAUAACUUAACUUCACAUAUUUCAACAAAAUUUAAGGCUGAUUUAAGCCAUAAAAAGUUCUGAGUUAGUCUUAGUGGUUCCUUCCUCUCUCAUCCAUCUAUAGGGAAACCUGGGUGAUAUGGUUUACAUCCGCAUUAAUGAGCAAUGCAGUCCAAUGUGAGCGCAUUUCUACAGUGAAAGCAUCAGGGCUGAGGACUUGCUGCCCACACUGUACAUGCUUUGGGGGAAAGGAUCACUUUUUGAAGUGUUUUAUUUCCUUCAUGGUUAAACAAUUCUGAAUAGAAAACACAGAACAAAUCAGAGAUGGAAGUGGUGGUGGUUUUCCAAACUUAGAAGGUUCAAAUUAAAGGCUAAAACCUUUAUGAUGUAAAAAUUGGUACUCCAAAGUAUGGGUUAAAACAUUUGUAUCUGGGUAGAAUGCAAUUGUCAUCUUCAUAUACAGCAAACUAUGUCAGUUGUCAAAAAGUGCUGGUUGAUCUGGAUCUCCACAAAGAAUUAGUCCCUACUUUUAUUAUUUACUGCAUAAAAUCAUAACUUGAAAAUCUGAAAGAAAUUUCAAUUGGGAUUUAUAACAAGAUGCUGCAGGUGGAAAAGGGUGGAAAAUAACUAAGUGCAGUAAAUCAAGAUAAGUUAAUUUUGCAUAUGUGAUCAUUAUCACAGCACACUAUUUGUACGGCAAUGCUGGAUUGCAAAUGUCUUUCUCAGACAAUAAACUUUGCAUCUCUUAUAGUAUCAAUAAUAAAAAGCAUGCCACUGUUACAUAGAUUUUCAAACACUUGUCAUCUCUGAAAAGAAAUGAAUUAGUAUGAUUGCAUACUGACUUACUUCACUGGAGGAAGACGGAAGAGUCAAAAAUAAUCUUUUGAAGAACAGUAUCAUCUUUUGAAAGACAGCUUAAUAUUCAGGGGUCUUGACACUCAACUAACUGAAAAAAUUAUUAUAAAAGAUGAAGCUUGAAAAUCCUCUAAUCCUUAAUGAGCAUUAAUCUUUUAACUACUUUAAAAAAGAGUGUUUUAUACCCAUGGGGAAAUCCUGCAUAAGAAAUUAUGUCCUGAGCAUGUGCUGUUCAACAUUAAAGUAUCACUGGAAUUAGUUUCAAUUAAGAAAAUUAAUCUGAAAUUGAUUAGUGAGCAUUCUGACGCUGCUGAAAUUUGAUUUUAAUA